UCUUUCAACGUGCUCACGAAGACCAGUCACAUAAAUUGCAUUGCUUACAAUGACAUCCCGAAUUCUUUGCAUCUAAAACCAACAUAUCAAAACAGCGGAUGGCUCUUUUUCAACGUCAGCUCACUUGAACUGCAACAGAUUUUGUCUUCAAAUACUCAUUCCUGCUUCGCAACUAAGAUCCCUGACGCCCUCACCGACGAAGAUGACUUCUUACUGACUGAUGUUGAGUCUUGGUUGAGCAAGCCAUAAUGAUACAGCUGGCUGUGGAAAGAAAAUUCUCUCUCCAACAUUAUCAAAAUACGCUGAAGCAGUUGCAACCAUUUCUAAAAGCAUUUAUUCAGGAGUUUUAAUAAUUUUCUCCAUUAGCGGCUGCUUAUACAUACAUAUAUACAUAAAUUUAAUUGGGUCUCCCUUAACAGGGCUUUUCAG